ACUCCUAUAGUUCAAAGGAUAGAACUCAAGUUUCCUAAACUUGAAAUGUAAGUUCGAGUCUUACUAGGGGUA
rnacentral:tRNA from 1 species